rnacentral:rRNA from 1 species
CACGUAGGGGGCGAGCGUUGUCCGGAUUUAUUGGGCGUAAAGGGCUCGUAGGUGGUUCAGUAAGUCGAGUGUGAAACCUCCAGGCUCAACCUGGAGACGCCACCCGAUACUGCUGUGACUAGAGUCCAGUAGGGGAGCACGGAAUUCCUGGUGUAGCGGUGAAAUGCGCAGAUAUCAGGAGGAACACCAGUGGCGAAGGCGGUGCUCUGGGCUGGAACUGACACUGAGGAGCGAAAGCGUGGGUAGCAAACAGG